rnacentral:rRNA from 1 species
UACGGGGGGGCAAGCGUUGUUCGGAAUUACUGGGCGUAAAGGGCUCGUAGGUGGCCAACUAAGUCAGACGUGAAAUCCCCAGGCUUAACCUGGGAACUGCGUCUGAUACUGGAUGGCUUGAAUUCGGGAGAGGGAUGCAGAAUUCCAGGUGUAGCGGUGAAAUGCGUAGAUAUCUGGAGGAAUACCGGUGGCGAAGGCGGCAUCCUGGACCGAGAUUGACACUGAUGAGCGAAAGCCAGGGGAGCAAACGGG